rnacentral:rRNA from 1 species
GUGGGGAAUAUUGGACAAUGGGCGGAAGCCUGAUCCAGCAAUGCCGCGUGGGUGAAGACGGCCUGCGGGUUGUAAAGCCCUUUAGGCGGGGAAGAACGACCGGGCACUAAUAGUGCCUGGAAGUGACGUUACCCGCGGAAUAAGCACCGGCUAACUCCGUGCCAGCAGCCGCGGUAAUACGGAGGGUGCGAGCGUUAAUCGGAAUUACUGGGCGUAAAGCGUGCGUAGGCGGAUCGGUCAGUCAGCCGUGAAAGCCCUGGGCUUAACCUGGGAACGGCGGUUGAGACGGCUGGUCUGGAGUGGGCUAGAGGACUGUGGAACUCCCGGUGUAGCGGUGAAAUGCGUAGAGAUCGGGAAGAACACCGAUGGCGAAGGCAGCGGUCUGGGGCCACACUGACGCUGAGGCACGAAAGCGUGGGGAGCAAACAGGAUUAGAAACCCCUGUAGUCC